rnacentral:rRNA from 1 species
GAUUAUGGCUCAGACGAACGCUGGCGGCGCGUUUAAGCAUGCAAGUCGAGCGGCAAGGGCCUUCGGGCCCCUAGAGCGGCGGACGGGUGAGUAACACGUGGACAAUCUGCCCCCCGGCCCGGGAUAGCCCAGGGAAACCUGGAUUAAUACCGGAUGAGACGGGACCCGCGAUGGCGGGAUCCGGGAAAGGCGCUGCGGCGCCGCCGGGGGAUGAGUCUGCGUCCCAUUAGCUAGACGGCGGGGUAACGGCCCACCGUGGCGACGAUGGGUAGCCGGCCUGAGAGGGUGGACGGCCACAUUGGAACUGAGACACGGUCCAGACUCCUACGGGAGGCAGCAGCUAAGAAUCUUCCGCAAUGGGCGAAGGCCUGACGGAGCGACGCCGCGUGAACGAAGAAGGCCGUGAGGUUGUAAGUUCUUUUCGGGAGGGGGAACAACCGUGGCAGGGAAUGGCCGCGGGAUGACGUGAAUCCCGGAAUAAGCCCCGGCUAACUACGUGCCAGCAGCCGC